CCUACGGGUGGCAGCAGUGAGGAAUAUUGGUCAAUGGGCGUAAGCCUGAACCAGCCAAGUAGCGUGAAGGAGGAAGGUACAGAGUAUCGUAAACCUCUUUUGUCAGGGAACAAAGGCGGGGACGUGUCCCCGGAUGAGUGUACCUGAAGAAAAAGCAUCGGCUAACUCCGUGCCAGCAGCCGCGGGAAUACGGGGGAUUCGAGCGUUAUCCGGAUUUAUUGGGUUUAAAGGGUGCGCAGGCGGUCCGUUAAGUCAGGGGGGAAAUGCCGGGGCUCAACCCUGGACCGGCCGUGGAAACUGGCAGACUCGAGUUGGAGAGAGGUAGGCGGAAUGCGCGGUGUAGCGGUGAAAUGCGUAGAUAUCGCGCAGAACUCCGAUUGCGAAGGCAGCAUGCCGGCUCCACACUGACGCUGAGGCACGAAAGCGUGGGUAUCGAACAGGAUUAGAUACCCGAGUAGUC
rnacentral:rRNA from 1 species